GCUGGGCAUGGUGGUGCAUGCCUGUAAUCACAGCUACUUGGAGGCUGAGACACAAGAAUCGCUUGAACCUGGGAGGUGGAGGUUGCAGUGAGCUGAGAUUGUGCCACUGCACCCUAGCCUGGGCAACAGAGCGAGACUCUGUCUCAA
rfam:Gorilla gorilla gorilla genomic chromosome, chr9, whole genome shotgun sequence